rnacentral:rRNA from 1 species
CUACGGGACGCAGCAGUGGGGAAUAUUGGACAAUGGGGGAAACCCUGAUCCAGCAAUGCCGCGUGUGUGAAGAAGGCCUGCGGGUUGUAAAGCACUUUCGGUUGGGAGGACUGCUUCUAGCACUAAUAUUGUUGGAAGUUGACGUUACCUUCAGAAGAAGCACCGGCUAACUCCGUGCCAGCAGCCGCGGUAAUACGGAGGUGCAAGCGUUAAUCGGAAUUACUGGGGCGUAAAGCGCGCGUAGGCGGCUAGAUCAGUCGGGUGUGAAAGCCCCGGGCUUAACCUGGGAACUGCAUCCGAUACUGUCUAGCUUGAGUACAGGAGAGGAGAGUGGAAUUCCACAUGUAGCGGUGAAAUGCGUAGAUAUGUGGAGGAACACCAAUGGCGAAGGCAGCUCUCUGGCCUGAUACUGACGCUGAGGUGCGAAAGCGUGGGGAGCAAACAGGAUUAGAUACCCCCGUAGUC